UACAGAGGUCCCAAGCGUUGUCCGGAUUUAUUGGGCGUAAAGAGCGUGUAGGCGGCUUGGUAGGUCCGCUGUGAAAACUCGAGGCUCAACCUCGAGAUGUCGGCGGAAACCACUUGGCUAGAGUCCGGAAGAGGAGAGUGGAAUUCCCGGUGUAGCGGUGAAAUGCGCAGAUAUCGGGAAGAACACCUAUGGCGAAGGCAGCUCUCUGGGACGGUACUGACGCUGAGACGCGAAAGCGUGGGGAGCGAACAGG
rnacentral:rRNA from 1 species